GGGGGAUAACAUUCCGAAAGGGACGCUAAUACCGCAUAAGACCACGACGUCUCCGGGCGAUGUGGGAAAAGGUGGCCUCUUCUUGAAAGCUACCACCGAAGGAUGAGCCUGCGUCCCAUCAGCUAGUUGGUAAGGUAAUGGCUUACCAAGGCGAAGACGGGUAGCUGGUUUGAGAGAAUGAUCAGCCACACUGGCACUGGAACACGGGCCAGACUCCUACGGGAGGCAGCAGUGAGGAAUAUUGGGCAAUGGGCGAAAGCCUGACCCAGCCACGCCGCGUGAGUGAUGAAGGCCUUCGGGUCGUAAAGCUCUGUGGAGAGGGACGAAAACCCUGGUUUCAAAUAGGCUCCAGGCUUGACGGUACCUCUUUAGCAAGCACCGGCUAACUCUGUGCCAGCAGCCGCGGUAA
rnacentral:rRNA from 1 species